rnacentral:rRNA from 1 species
AUUGAACGCUGGCGGCAUGCCUUACACAUGCAAGUCGAACGGUAACGCGGGGCAACCUGGCGACGAGUGGCGAACGGGUGAGUAAUGCAUCGGAACGUGCCCAGUAGUGGGGGAUAGCCCGGCGAAAGCCGGAUUAAUACCGCAUACGACCUACGGGUGAAAGGGGGGGAUCGCAAGACCUCUCGCUAUUGGAGCGGCCGAUGUCAGAUUAGGUAGUUGGUGGGGUAAAGGCCUACCAAGCCUACGAUCUGUAGCUGGUCUGAGAGGACGACCAGCCACACUGGGACUGAGACACGGCCCAGACUCCUACGGGAGGCAGCAGUGGGGAAUUUUGGACAAUGGGCGCAAGCCUGAUUCAGCCAUGCCGCGUGCGGGAAGAAGGCCUUCGGGUUGUAAACCGCUUUUGUCAGGGAAGAAACGCUCUGGGUUAAUACCCUGGGGUAAUGACGGUACCUGAAGAAUAAGCACCGGCUAACUACGUGCCAGCAGCCGCAGUAAGAC